GGUUUGGCACUUGUUCUGAGAUCGUGAGAGAGAGCGGAGGCUCACGGAGGCGGAGCCCGUCAUACGGCCGCAGAGGCGAAGAGACCGCGGCAGCCGAGCAACAAGACACUUUUUUAGGUGUGAUAAGUGAUGACUGCAACGAUCCAGCUCCUCUUCGGGUGUGCGGCGGUGCUGUCAGAGCAGCUGCUGGCGACACACUUCUUUGUUCAAGACUGGGCCUCCAGAUGUGAACCGCGCAUCAGCAGAGCAUGGAUCAUUGCUCCGCCUCCACCGCCAUUUCCCCCAAAGCGCCCGAAAGCGAGAUUCACGAUAGCAAGUGAAGAGCCUGGUGCGGAUCAUCAUCGAGAUUCGCUCCGAGAAACGUACCUUCACAGCCGGCCCUCGGUGAGUUUCACUGAGCGUGUAGGUGUCGGGGCUGCGGCGACACUGUGGGCCUGGACACCGUUAGAGUAACAUUAUUAGAGCAACGUCAUUAGAGUAACGUUACCAGAGUAACAUUACUACAAUAAUGCCAUUAGAGUGACAUCAUUAAUGUUUAAGAGUAACACUAUCAAAGUAACAUCAUUUGAGUAACAUUAUUCCUCUAACGCUAUUAUUAGAGUACUGCCAUUAGAGUAACGCUUUUAGAGCAACGUUAGAGUAACAUCAUUAGAGUAACAUCAUUUUCAAACAUCUCUGUUGAUGUAAAAGCAGAUCUAUCUAAGAAAGAAGGACCUGGCUGGACCAAAGGGAGAAAAGGUAUGUGGUGCUCGCACUUUGUCUUUUUACGUCUACAUUCUUACUUAUUUGACAAAACAGCUUAUAGUAAUAUCUGAGCCAUUUUACAGCUCUAAGCUGGAGUGAUUUCAGGGAAGGUAAAGCACCUUGUUCAAGCUGCUAUAGCAGGAGUAGGAAAUGGGAGUCAAACAAACUACCCUCGGGUCAAAAGUCCGUGUCUCUAUUCUGUACACGACCUACUGCCCUUAACUGCUGCGUCACCAGGAUGCUACUUUGGACGUUAC
rnacentral:lncRNA from 1 species